AAUUAGUUUAUUUUUUCUGUACAACUACAUGCAACUGAUGUCUUUUCGAGCUAUUCUGAAAUUAGUAAUUUUAAGUUUAACUUAUAAGCAGGGGAUCGAGAAACGAAAGAAAUUACUUUCAGCAAAAUGUAAUUUAAAGUAUGAAUUGUGACAAUAUUCGUGAAACGGCCUCUGUCUGUAACUGAGGCCUUGAUGUGCACCAUCAGUGCUAAAGGAAAGCUGUGCAUUGCACAAAAGGGGGAAGUGUAACGGAAAAAAAAUCAUAAAAAACCAGUCUGAUAAAACUAGCACUUAUUGCCCAACAUUUCCAUCCUUGUAUGUCAUCACCAGUUUAUAAAUCAAGCUAUUCAUUAAAGAGGUAAGCAAGACUUUCUACUUCAUGUAUCAAAUGUAUAGACACACCUAAAAAGUGUGAUUUCUUAUUGUAAUUUCCUCAAGGACAUCACAUCAUAUGUCUGAAUAAAGCAACUGUUUGCUUAAGAAAUUAUGACCCUUGCUAUCUGAAACUAUAUGAUUGUAACAGCCACACUUGCAAGUGUAAUAAUAAAACUCAGAAAGACAUUUUCUUGUUUAUGAACCUUGUUUCUACACAAUUUCCAUCACGGUAGCAGUCUCUAGAUGUCACUGUUGUAGUAUGUAUGAGUCACUACAGUGUACUGUCUUUCUUUUUUUACCACACACACUGUCUGCUACUCCAUCACAGAUCAGAAAUGAUUUAAUAAGGACUAAUGGCAUUGAAGCACCUGAAGUCAGCUUAUUGACACCAGCUUGGAUUCUCUUCUUCUCCAUUCAAAGACCAAAUGGCUGUUGGUGUUUUUAUGUGUCCUCUUACACAUGCAUAGGUCUUCUUUCAGCAGGAAUCACAGAGCGAGAUCACAUUAAUUGACACCAACCAUCUGUACUUCUACUGUGUAAGUGAAGGGAAAACUGGUUCCUUUUGCGUCAAACUGCCACCUCUUAUAAAUCAAUAGAUUGAUAAGGCUGUGUACAAGAAGGACUGCAUCAAUCUUUGAACGUGGAACAGGUGCUUAGACCUCAAAUGUGUUCAUUGAACCACCCUGGACAGAACCUGCGUGCUGGGUUACAACAGGAAACUGAAUCUACUUAUCUGAAACUACUUGUCUUGCAGAUCUUACUGUGCACCACAGAUGGCUGCAAGGUGCUCAAAUGCCAAGUGUGGUUGGAAACACUUAUUUGCAGUUAUGAAGCAGUGAAGAUUCUCUGGUUGUUCAUACAAGACUGACAGAUUGCAGUCAGUUGAAAUGUGCUUCCUUUUUCAUCUCUGGGCAUUCCAACAGUCUCAAAUGCUUUCUAUUCAGCAGCGGCCUCCCUGCUCUUAACCUGGCUGUCAGUCUGUAUGGUUUAUGCCAUGGAGGAUCAGGAUUUUGGCAUGUCUAGACUGCCAACUGAGAAGUGCGUCAUGACUGAGCGCCUGGCUGAGCUCAGAGAGAAACCAGCAUGGAAAACCUUCUUCUACCAGAGGACAUUAUUUGGUGAAAUACUGAAGCCAGUUCCUCCACUGGUCAUCAUUUAUUAAUUUAUGUAAAUCGAAUCGUCAUUAAUAAAUCACAUACAGCUGUCUUCUGUUCAUGCUGUAACACCAUUCUCUUCAUUAAUUAUCCAGCGUACACACCACUCACAGGAGCGCUUGUAAGAACAUCUGCUUUUGGAUAGAUUUGUCUUUGCUGCUGUCCAUAGGGAUGGAAAUCGAGAACCAGUUCCAAUUGAGUACUGGUUCCAGAUUGUCUGAACCAUAUGAAUCUUAUGCCUUUGAGCUUAUCUAUUCCUUUUAUCAAUGCUGGCAUGCUUUUUCUGAUAUGCAUGCUUUUUUUAGAGAUAAUAAAACAAGUUAUGUUGUUGCUGAAAACCUGUGUCGGCAUAAUUUUUCCAAACAGAAAAUCUGAAAUUAUUAAAAGAAUCAAUAUACAAUUGGACCAAUAAGCAGAAUUCAUAUUAAUAAAAUAUCAAUUCCCAUCCCUAGCAGGCAAUGCGUGUCUCCCCCUUGAAGUCUUCUGUUCAUGCCUCUAGGAUACGCCAGCCUCACCAGUGCUCUUCUGGCUCAGUGGAAGCAAAUCCAUGUUCCCAGA